AUGGGAUCCAGCUCCAAUAGCGUAUAUUAAAGUUGUUGCAGUUAAAAAGCUCGUAGUUGAAUUUCGGGGUUCUACCGUUGGUCGGGCAAUAGUCUGUACUGGCGUGUAGAAUUUCUACCUUCUGGGGAACCAUCAUGUUAUUUAUUUAGCGUGGUGGGAAACCAGGACCUUUACCUUGAAAAAAUUAGAGUGUUCAAAGCAGGCUUACGUCUGAAUACAUUAGCAUGGAAUAAUAAAAUAGGACGGUGGUCCUGUUUUGUUGGUUUCUGAAUCACCGUAAUGAUUAAUAGGGAUAGUUGGGGGCAUUAGUAUUCAAUUGUCAGAGGUGAAAUUCUUGGAUUUAUUGAAGACUAACUUCUGCGAAAGCAUUUGCCAAGGAUGUUUUCAUUAAUCAAGAACGAAAGUUAGGGGAUCGAAGACGAUCAGAUACCGUCGUAGUCUUAACCAUAAACUAUGCCGACUAGGGAUCGGACGAUGUUAAU
rnacentral:rRNA from 1 species